rnacentral:rRNA from 1 species
AUUGAACGCUGGCGGCAUGCCUUACACAUGCAAGUCGAACGGUAACAGGGUAAGCUGACGCGUGGCGGACGGGUGAGUAAUGUAACGGAACGUGCCCAGCCGUGUGGGAUAACUUCCCGAAAGAUCAGCUAAUACCGCAUACGCCCUGCGGGGAAAAACGGGGGAUCGAAAGACCUCGCGCGAUUGGAGCGGCCGAUAUCUGAAUAGGUAGUUGGGGAGGUAAAGGCUCACCAAGCCGACGAUCUGUAGCUGGUCUGAGAGGACGACCAGCCACACUGGGACUGAGACACGGCCCAGACUCCUACGGGAGGCAGCAGUGGGGAAUUUUGGACGAUGGGGGCAAGCCUGAUCCAGCCAUGCCGCGUGAGGGAAGAAGGCGUUCGGGUUGUAAACCGCUUUUGUCAGGGAAGAAAAGGUUCUGGCUAAUACCUGAGACUCAUGACGGUACCUGAAGAAUAAGCACCGGCUAACUACGUG